UACAGGGGGCUCGAGCGUUAGUCGGAAUCACUGGGCUUAAAGGGUGCGUAGGCGGCUCGCCAAGUGCUUUGUGAAAUCCCACAGCUCAACUGUGGAACAGCAGGGCAAACUGGCGAGCUUGAGGCAGGUAGGGGCCGGAAGAACAGUUGGUGGAGCGGUGAAAUGCGUAGAUAUCGUCAAGAACACCGAUAGCGAAGGCAGCUUACCAAGCUGUAACUGACACUGAGGCACGAAAGUGUGGGGAUCAAACAGG
rnacentral:rRNA from 1 species